rnacentral:lncRNA from 1 species
CUGAUGCAGCCGAGGCUUCUAUGUGCUUGCCUGCAGCGUUUGACCUCUUGCACGUUGGCUAACUACCAUGAAAAGAGCGAGCCCCAAGCAACCACUGGUGUCAGAACAAGAGACCUCAACCCGACCUGCCACUUGGAGGAGAGCCGCCUCAGCCAGCUCACACACCGGAAAUAAGGGAAGACUGAAGCCAAAGAGAACUAGCGUGUACUAUGUGGCCACCCCCCUCCAGGAACCUUCUUAGAAGAUGUUCAUAAACGAUACAGCUUCAAGUGCAGGACCUGCCCCUCGGCACAGCCCACGUUCACUCUCGGUCAGAUGCAGUCCCUUCACCAACUUCUCAAUAGUUGCCCCUUUGGGCUGUGCUCGCCGCCGUUUGUGUCUGUCCUUCCUUGUUCUGAACCUCAGCACCGUUCCCUGUCGCAGGCUGAUUGCAGAGCGAGUGCCGGCCGAAUCAAACCAGACCUUUUGA